GCUGUUGGCGUGCUUAACACAUGCAAGUCGAACGGAAAGGCCCUGCUUUUGUGGGGUGCUCGAGUGGCGAACGGGUGAGUAACACGUGAGUAACCUGCCCUUGACUUUGGGAUAACUUCAGGAAACUGGGGCUAAUACCGGAUAGGAGCUCCUGCUGCAUGGUGGGGGUUGGAAAGUUUCGGCGGUUGGGGAUGGACUCGCGGCCUAUCAGCUUGUUGGCGGGGUAGUGGCUUACCAAGGCUUUGACGGGUAGCCGGCCUGAGAGGGUGACCGGCCACAUUGGGACUGAGAUACGGCCCAGACUCCUACGGGAGGCAGCAGUGGGGAAUAUUGCACAAUGGGCGGAAGCCUGAUGCAGCAACGCCGCGUGCGGGAUAACGGCCUUCGGGUUGUAAACCGCUUUUGCCUGUGACGAAGCGUGAGUGACGGUAAUGGGUAAAGAAGCACCGGCUAACUACGUGCCAGCAGCCGCGGUGAUACGUAGGGUGCGAGCGUUGUCCGGAUUUAUUGGGCGUAAAGGGCUCGUAGGUGGUUGAUCGCGUCGGAAGUGUAAUCUUGGGGCUUAACCCUGAGCGUGCUUUCGAUACGGGUUGACUUGAGGAAGGUAGGGGAGAAUGGAAUUCCUGGUGGAGCGGUGGAAUGCGCAGAUAUCAGGAGGAACACCAGUGGCGAAGGCGGUUCUCUGGGCCUUUCCUGACGCUGAGGAGCGAAAGCGUGGGGAGCGAACAGGCUUAGAUACCCUGGUAGUCCACGCUGUAAACGGUGGGUACUAGGUGUGGGGUCCAUUCCACGGGUUCCGUGCCGUAGCUAACGCUUUAAGUACCCCGCCUGGGGAGUACGGCCGCAAGGCUAAAACUCAAAGGAAUUGACGGGGCCCCGCACAAGCGGCGGAGCAUGCGGAUUAAUUCGAUGCAACGCGUAGAACCUUACCUGGGUUUGACAUGGAUCGGGAGUGCUCAGAGAUGGGUGUGCCUCUUUUGGGGUCGGUUCACAGGUGGUGCAUGGCUGUCGUCAGCUCGUGUCGUGAGAUGUUGGGUUAAGUCCCGCAACGAGCGCAACCCUUGUUCACUGUUGCCAGCACGUUAUGGUGGGGACUCAGUGGAGACCGCCGGGGUCAACUCGGAGGAAGGUGGGGAUGACGUCAAGUCAUCAUGCCCCUUAUGUCCAGGGCUUCACGCAUGCUACAAUGGCUGGUACAGAGAGUGGCGAGCCUGUGAGGGUGAGCGAAUCUCGGAAAGCCGGUCUCAGUUCGGAUUGGGGUCUGCAACUCGACCUCAUGAAGUCGGAGUCGCUAGUAAUCGCAGAUCAGCAACGCUGCGGUGAAUACGUUCCCGGGGCUUGUACACACCGCCCGUCAAGUCAUGAAAGUUGGUAACACCCGAAGCCGGUGGCCUAACCGUUGUGGGGGAGCCGUCGAAGGUGGGACUGGUGAUU
rnacentral:rRNA from 1 species